AGUGGGGUCCCAUGCGGCGAAAACUUCCGAACCGUGUCAGGUCCUGACGGAAGCAGCACUAAGGGAGACCUUUCGGGCGACGUGGGCAAGCCUUGCUUGG
rfam:Alicyclobacillus ferrooxydans strain TC-34 contig_5, whole genome shotgun sequence.